CAGCAGUGGGGAAUAUUGCACAAUGGGGGAAACCCUGAUGCAGCGACGCCGCGUGAGUGAAGAAGUAUUUCGGUAUGUAAAGCUCUAUCAGCAGGGAAGAAAUACUGACCAUAGGGUCAGCAGACGGUACUUGACUAAGAAGCCCCGGCUAACUACGUGCCAGCAGCCGCGGUAAUACGUAGGGGGCAAGCGUUAUCCGGAUUUACUGGGUGUAAAGGAAGCGUAGACGGCAGCGCAAGUCUGAAGUGAAAUGCCAGGGCUUAACCCUGGAACUGCUUUGGAAACUGUGCAGCUAGAGUGCAGGAGAGGUAAGUGGAAUUUCUAGUGUAGCGGUGAAAUGCGUAGAUAUUAGGAGGAACACCAGUGGCGAAGGCGGCUUACUGGACUGUAACUGACGUUGAGGCUCGAAAGCGUGGGGAGCAAACAGGAUUAGAUACCCUGGUAGUCCACGCUGUAAACGAUGAUUACUAGGUGUUGGGGGACCAAGGUUCUUCG
rnacentral:rRNA from 1 species